rnacentral:sRNA from 1 species
CUCGUAAUGUAGAACAAUAU